rnacentral:lncRNA from 1 species
UUUCUGUCCUCUGGGUGUCUGCAUGACACAGCGGUGAAGGAGAUAAAGCAGAGAUGAGUAUGACAGGCACGUGCCGUGGUCCUGGAGACGGAUGGCGCCCAGAAUGACAGGCUCAGCUUGGGCUGUGUCAGAACUUUCCAAUGGGAUUUUAGUGAGCAAGGAAGGAAUGUUGCUAGACUGUUAGUGUGCUGGCACAAGCCUGUAAUCUUAGAACUCAGGAAGCUAAGGCAGGAUGAUCUUAAACUUGAGGCAGCCUGAAAUACAUAGUGAGACCAUGUUUCUAACAAGACAAAUCAAAACCAAAACGUCAAUGCAACGUCUGGGGACUUCUUUAUUUCCUCAGGGUUUGGGGGCAGUGACAGGGUCAGCCUAUGUGGGAAACCCAGGAUACUUGACAAGAAGGAGAUGUAAGCUGAGGUUCUGCCUAGGGCGAAAUUCCAGUGAAAAGUUACUUUUUAUCGGAAAUUGACUUUUCAGUAGGUGUUUUAGCCAAACUGGCCCCCUGGUCAUCAUGGAGGACUUUGUCAGCUUGGCCAUGAUCUUGGGGCAGCGGCUUUGAAAGUCAGCAUCUCUCCUUGGCCCUCCAGGCUGCACCCCCAGGAAGUGUGGCCGAGGUGUCACUGACAUCGUCAUCACCAGGGAGGAGGCGGAGCAGAUUCGCAGAAUAGCAGAGAAAGGGCUCUCCCUAGGUGG